ACCUGAAUACAUAGGGUGUCGAGGCGAACCAGGGGAAUUGAAACAUCUCAGUACCCUGAGGAAAGGAAAUCAACAGAGACUCCCUUAGUAGUGGCGAGCGAACGGGGACCAGCCCUUAAGUUGAUUUGAGAUUAGCGGAACGCUCUGGAAAGUGCGGCCAUAGUGGGUGAUAGCCCUGUACGCGAAAAUCUCCUUGUCAUGAAAUCGAGUAGGACGGAGCACGAGAAACUUUGUCUGAAUAUGGGGGGACCAUC
rnacentral:rRNA from 15 species